UAAAUGAUUAAUGGCUGGGAUGGUA
rnacentral:piRNA from 1 species